rnacentral:tRNA from 1 species
CUGGGGUUGUGGCUCAGUUGUAGAGCGCUUGUCUAGCAUGCAUGAGGCACUGGCUUCAAUCCCGGAACCACAUA